UGAGAGUUAAAAAGUGGGGGUCAUCUUAUAUCCAGGGUCUAGACAUUAUACCCAUUCACGACGCUAGAUGACGCCAUAUAUCAUUGUAGCGAAUGCAGAACUUGACGCCCCAGGCCAAAGUGAACCCCUGUCACGAAGAAUAAAAAUAAAAAUAGCGAAAAGAGAAAAAAUAAUAGAAGAGAUAACAGAAAAUGAAGAAACGUAGCGACAAUCUGGAGAAAAGUGGGUCAAAGAUCGGCCAGGUUAACUGGUAGCUGAGGAGAGCUUAUGAUGUAAUUUACAUUUAAAAAAACAAAAGCUAUUCAUUUACGAAUGUGAUUGCACUUUAGUUUACAUAUUUAAAUGUUCAGAUAUUAAGAUUUGAAUGAGGCAAAAAAAUAUGCUUUUUCACUCAAAUAUAUUGUUAGAAUCAUUUGUUUCAGAUGUACUGUAAUUAUUUUCUGUAUAAAAAUUAAUUUGGUGUUCAAAAAGUCUUUUUUCAAACGUGAGUCUUGAAAAAGAGGGGGUCGUCUUAUAAUCAGGGCCGUCUUAUAUUCGGGCCAAUACG